rnacentral:rRNA from 1 species
UGGGGAAUAUUGCACAAUGGGCGCAAGCCUGAUGCAGCGACGCCGCGUGGGGGAUGACGGCCUUCGGGUUGUAAACCUCUUUCAGCAGGGACGAAGCGAAAGUGACGGUACCUGCAGAAGAAGCACCGGCCAACUACGUGCCAGCAGCCGCGGUAAUACGUAGGGUGCGAGCGUUGUCCGGAAUUACUGGGCGUAAAGAGCUCGUAGGUGGUUUGUCGCGUUGUUCGUGAAAACCGGGGGCUUAACCCUCGGCGUGCGGGCGAUACGGGCAGACUAGAGUACUGCAGGGGAGACUGGAAUUCCUGGUGUAGCGGUGGAAUGCGCAGAUAUCAGGAGGAACACCGGUGGCGAAGGCGGGUCUCUGGGCAAUAACUGACGCUGAGGAGCGAAAGCGUGGGGAGCGAACAGGAUUAGAUACCCUGGUAGUGCCACGCCGUAAACGGUGGGUACUAGGUGUGGGUUUCCUUCCUUGGGAUCCGUGCCGUAGCUAACGCAUUAAGUACCCCGCCUGGGGAGUACGGCCGCAAGGCUAAAACUCAAAUGAAUUGACGGGGUCAUAGCUGUUUCCUG